ACGAAAACAGAGCGAGAAGUUGGAGCUGCAGACACAGAAGAGGGAGUGGAGAGAAACCACCGAGCUCUAGCGUGGACUUUCCUCCACAGCUGUCCUCUGCUCCCAGUCUGUCCAGAGAGACACCAGGGAAAGUGGUGAUGUGGCUCUCCACCCAGGGCGGCAGUGGUCCGAGGGGCGCCUCAAAGAAUAGCAGAAAGUUGAAGGUAAAAACUCGCCAGAUGAGCCGGAUUCGAAGUCAAUCUAAAUUUCCGACAGCUUGGACUGAAAACCUGCCAGCAGAAGGUUCAAAGUCCAUGUUUGAUGUGAUGAUUGAAACCACCUGAAAACCGGCGAACGCGUCCACCGGAUACGAGAAGACAAGGUCGAAACGACGACACGCCGAGCGCCUCUGUAACGUGGAAAACAAAUAUCUGUUGUCAUCUUGACUCUGUAAAGAAAGGCAUGAGUUUUUGUGUGUCUAAAUAAAAAAAAAAGUAGGAUUGUUACAGUUCUGUUUUUCUUUUUUCUUUUUUACUGGAUCUGGAUAAUUAAAAGCCAAGUUUCAGCUACUGCAAAGUUUCCAAUGUGCAGUAACUCAGAGCAGCGGGAAGCUCCUCCCAUAUGGUGCUCCCAGCAGGAUAAAACAAACACAACUUCUGUUUGGCAGUAAUUCUGUGCAUCACAUCCCACACGCUGUACAGCAGUUUCAUCUGAGUUCAACGUAAAAUACAGCAGCAGGCAAAAUCUCCCCUCUAAAGACGUGGAUUUUGACUGGGUUGAUCCUGUGGAGUAUCAGCAAAAAACAUUCUACUGAGCAGCAACGUUGAAAGACACCGUAAGGCGUUCUCCUUACUUUUCACACAAUGAGUUUGUAGAAUCAUUUUAAUGCUAGGGCAUAAAAAAAAUGUCUCUUUGGGUGCAGAAAUAAUACUCUUGCACGUUCUGUCUUUAAAAUGAUCUAUUUCAGUCCAGACUCCUCUGAUUUUCAUUUUCUUAUUUGCUUUUGCUCUAAACCCACAGAUGAUGUCGUUCAUCGAUGCAUUUAAAGUGUUGCAUUUGAUCAAAUUCAUAGUCUGAUUAAAGCGGCUUAAAAAAGUUCGUUUUAAAGUCUCUUAAAUCUGAAUCAUAAGCAGAUUUUUUUUUCGCUGCCUUAAGCAACGCAGGGCGAAAAUCAAGUAAACAUUUGUUACAAAAACGUAACAUAAAUGUUUAGCACUGCCGUCAAAAACACGAGUU